GGUGACCAGUAGGUCCAGUGACCAGUAGGUCCAGUGACCAGUGAGGUCCAGUGAUCAGUGGGUCCAGUGACAGUGACCAGUAGGUCCAGUGACGGUGACCAGUAGGUCCAGUGACGGUGACCAGUAGGUCCAGUGACAGUGACCAGUAUGGUCAGUGACCAGUAGGUCCAGUGACAGUGACCAGUAGGUCCAGUGACGGUGACCAGUAGGUCAAGUGACCAUUAGGUCCAGUGACCAGUAGGUCCAGUGACCAGUGGGUCCAGUGACGGUGACCAGUAGGUCCAGUGACCAUUAGGUCCAGUGACCAGUAGGUCCAUUGACCAGUGGGUCCAGUGACAGUGACCAGUAGGUCCAGUGACAGUGACCAGUAGGUCCUAGUUAACGGGUUCGGGUUAGA
ensembl:lncRNA